rnacentral:rRNA from 1 species
AUGGACCGCAAGGACAAGUCCCGCAAGUCCUCCUCGGCAGCGUCCAUGGCCGCGCUCGCCGCCGCAGCUGCGGCCGGCGACGUGGCCCGAGCCGACGGGAUGUCCGGCGAGGAGGACCAGAAGCUGAAGCUCGUGAACGUUCCCGUGGUCUCCGUCGGCGGCUCGAGCUCCUCUGCCGCGGCGGUGGCGGUGAGGAGGGGCAGUGGUGCUGCUGGCGCCGUGGCGACGGGCGCGGCUGGGGCAGGCGGGCCGAGCUGCCAGGCUGAGAGGUGCGGCGCCGACCUCAGCGAGGCGAAGCGGUACCACCGCAGGCACAAGGUGUGCGAGGCGCACUCCAAGGCUGCUGUCGUGGUCGUCGCCGGCCUCCGCCAGCGCUUCUGCCAGCAAUGCAGCCGGUUCCACGAGCUUUUGGAGUUCGACGACCAGAAGCGCAGCUGCCGCCGGCGCCUGGCCGGGCACAACGAGCGGCGGAGGAAGAGCUCGGCGGAGGCCAACGGCGGCGACGGGUGCCGCCACGCCGACCAGGACGGCCGUAGCCACCCGGGGAACCCGCCGCUGAACCAUUUCCAGAUCAGAUAA